rfam:Triticum aestivum genome assembly, contig: Triticum_aestivum_CS42_TGACv1_scaffold_643861_T_6BS-0.140300_5DL-0.099737
AUAGUACUCCCUCCGUCCGAAAAUACUUGUCAUCAAAAUAAACAAAAUGAUAUGUAUCUAGACGUAUUUUAGUUCUAGAUACAUCCUUGGACGGAGAUAAAUCCGGAAAUACGUUUAGAUACAUCUCAUUUUGUUUAUUUUGAUGAUAAGUAUUUCCGGACGGAGGGAGUACAUG